rnacentral:rRNA from 1 species
GACGAACGCUGGCGGCGUGCCUAAUACAUGCAAGUCGAACGCAGUGGGGACGGGUGAGUAACACGUGGGUAACCUCCCAUCAGAGGGGAUAACACUUGGAAACAGGUGCUAAACCGAUACUGAUGGAUGGACCCGCGGUGCAUUAGCUAGUGGGUGAGGUAAAGGCUAACCAGGGCCACGAUGCAUAGCCGACCUGAGAGGUUGAUCAGCCACACUGGGACUGGGACACGGCCCAGACUCCUACGGGAGGCAGCAGUAGGGAAUCUUCGACAAUGGACGAAAGUCUUACCGAGCAACGCCGCGUGAGUGAAGAAGGUUUUCGGAUCGUAAAACACUGUUGGUGGAGAAGCGGUAUCUAACCAGAAAGCCACGGCUAACUACGUGCCAGCAGCCGCGGUAAUUG